rnacentral:rRNA from 1 species
UACGGCGAGUGAAGCGGGAAGAGCUCAAAUUUGAAAUCUGGCAGUCUUCGAUUGUCCGAGUUGUAAUCUAUAGAGGCGUUUUCCGUGCCGGACCGUGUCCAAGUCUCCUGGAAAGGAGUAUCAAAGAGGGUGAUAAUCCCGUACUUAACACGACCACCGGUGCUCUGUGAUACGUCUUCUACGAGUCGAGUUGUUUGGGAAUGCAGCUCAAAAUGGGUGGUGAAUUCCAUCUAAAGCUAAAUAUUGGCGAGAGACCGAUAGCGAACAAGUACCGUGAGGGAAAGAUGAAAAGCACUUUGGAAAGAGAGUUAAACAGUACGUGAAAUUGUUGAAAGGGAAACGAUUGAAGUCAGUCGUGUUCUUUGGAUUCAGCCAGUUCUGCUGGUCUACUUCCUUGGAACGGGUCAACAUCAGUUUUGUCCGGUGGAUAAAGGUAGUAGGAAUGUGACUUCUCCGGAAGUGUUAUAGCCUAUUAUCACAUACACUGGGUGAGACUGAGGACUGCAGCUCGCCUUUAUGGCCGGUCUUCGGACACGUUCGAGCUUAGGAUGUUGACAUAAUGGCUUUAAACGAC